GGGCGACUAGCUCAAUUGGUAGAGCAAUUCCCUCUUAAGGAAUAGGUUCAGGGUUCGAGACCCUGGUCGCUCACAA
rnacentral:tRNA from 2 species